GAUGACCCACUGCUGUCCUCAUAGUAUUAAGGACCUGCUUUUAUAUAGAUACAUAUUUAAAUUGUGUAAUUAACGAUUUGGUGCAUACAUGUUAAUAUAGUUUAUUAUAAAUAUUACUCUCACCGUACUCUUUCAAGGACGGUAAUUUUAGGAAGUCACAUGGGAAAGUGACAAUUUCCGGCAUUAGACGACACAUCCGGCUUGUCUCGUUUACCGAUUUCGUUUAUCAUUAUUUUAAACUUUAAACUUACUUAUUUGUCCUUAAGUAUAUAAUUACUUCAAAAUAUUACAGUGAUUUUUUUCUUGAUUUUUAUAUUUGGUUUCUAAAUUCAGAUUUUUGGUUAAAAAUCACUGACAAACAGGGUAACCGUCCGUAUAGGACUUAGCUUUACCAGUCGGUGUCUGUCACACAGUAAUUAUUAUUUAAGAAUAGUUUAAGCUUGGUCUGCCGUCAACGUGUUUUCAUGGCGGCUUUUAGUAGCACCAACAUAUUCUUCUGUCGCGGUUUAUUUUCAAGAAUAAGUAGGACAGUCCCUGCAAGCGGCCUUUUUCGAAGGAGUUUGUGUCCGUGUCAAGGUGAAACACACUUGCCUAGGUAUCUCUGGUGGGAUGCUGCCAGAAGAUUUUUCUCCCAUGGUGGUGGCGCAGUCGUGGAGCAGCAGACGCUGGAUAGCAUUGCCAAGAAGAUCCGAGAUCAGAAGUAUAAGAGAGUGGUUGUGAUGGCUGGGGCUGGGAUUAGCACACCCAGUGGCAUCCCAGAUUUCAGGUCCCCUGGUAGCGGCCUCUACGACAACUUGCAGCAGUAUAAUCUGCCAUAUGCAGAGGCUAUUUUUGAAAUUAACUAUUUUCAUCACAAUCCUAUUCCAUUCUUUGCUCUUGCCAAAGAGUUGUAUCCAGGAAAUUACCAGCCUAAUUCUACACACUAUUUUGUGCGACUGCUUCUUGAAAAGCAUCUGCUUCUCCGGAUGUACACACAGAAUAUCGACGGUUUGGAAAGAUUAGCAGGGAUUCCUCCUGAUUUUCUCGUGGAGGCCCACGGGACAUUUGCUACCGCCACCUGCACUGUUUGCAGACGCAAAUACGAGGAAGAAGACCUACGAGUGAGUUACUUGAUGAGCGGAGUGAUUCCCAAAUGUCCAACCUGUAAGGGCAUUAUAAAGCCAGACAUUGUUUUCUUUGGGGAAGAGCUACCAGUUCACUUCUUCAAGUACCUCACAGACUUUCCACUCGCAGAUCUCCUCAUCAUCAUGGGCACAUCACUAGAGGUAGAGCCCUUUGCUAGUCUUGCUGGGGCAGUGCGAGGAUCUGUCCCUCGACUCCUCAUCAACAAGGACCUAGUUGGUCCAUUUGCAUUGAGAAAUCGUCGACUUGGUGAUGUCGUGCUACUGAGCGAUGUAGUAAGUGGCGUCCAAAGUUUGGUCGAUGCUCUUGGUUGGACUCAGGAGCUGGAUGCUCUGAUGGCCAAUGCUGCUGUGAAAGUUUGAUCCUUCCUGCUGUCUUCUUAUCCUCUGGCAUACCAGUGAGCUGUGUUAAGAAGCAGAGUUACUAUACAUACCUCCACCUAAGAGACUGCAUCAAAGACGAAUGAAGAAUAGGCGCUUUAUCAAAACUGGCACACUGAUGUUCUACAUAGGAUGACAUGUUGAAAUAAUUUGUGAAAGGUGGACCACUUUUACAUUCAUUUCAUGGAUUACAUGAACUGUAAAUAAAUUGUCAGCAAUUA